GCGAUUAGCACAACAGUAGUGCAUCGGACUUUGACUUCGAUUAUGUUGGGGCGGUACCAGCAUCGCCUGCCAUCGCCGCGUCGGUUCGAAUCCGACCAAUGAUUGCA
rnacentral:tRNA from 1 species